rnacentral:lncRNA from 1 species
UUAUACUAUAGUAUGAUUCAAGUGUAACCGAUGAACAUCUCACCUAUAGUAGGAAAGGUGUGAACCUUCAUUCAAUCAUACAAAGACGAGACACAGCAACACUGGACAUCGCCCGCAAGGGUAAGCUUGACAAGCGGCUCGCAGCAUAAUAUGAAAUGACGAACCGGGGUAACGUGCAACUCUGAGUUGCAUGAUGGAUCCAGUGUAAUCCGAUUCAGCGGUACCAAUGCUUAACACACUCCUUCCCCCCAUCCACCUAAGAGCCCAUUCGCUC